AUGACUACGAUCGAGAUGGCCGCCGCAGACGCUCACGCAGCCGAAGCUACGAAAGAUACAGAUCACGAAGCCCAUCCUAUGAACGACGACGCAGACGCUCUGAAAGUCCUCGAGACUCUCGUGGUCGGAUGUAUGCAAGAGGACGAAGCAGGAGUCAUGAGGAUGACAGGUACAGGCAGAGGCCUCGAAGAGAAUCCAGAGGGAGGUCUCGAUCUCAUUCCAGAUCUGCAAGUCCACGAGAGAACAUCAAUCCACCAUCGACCUCCCAUUAUACUGAGGAGGAAGUGCGACGGACACACUCUCCGUCACACUCCAGGUCCCGGUCUGCAUCACGGUCACGCUCACGUUCUCGGUCCAGAUCCUGGGCAGGACGCAAGUCCGGUGGGCGUUAGAAAGUCUGUAGCCGGUGUCAGUCCUUUGUUAAAAGAUUUGUUUGUUUUGACAUGAAUGUAACGUCCACUGAACCAUUUGUAGAACGCUUGUGUUGCGGCUCCAUUUUAAGAACAGUGAUGUUUGGUUUUAUAAAUUUGUUUUGGUUUAUAGAGUUAAGACAGUGAGCGGUUUCUGUGUUCAGUGGUAGCUGGCCAAGAGGAGUCUCUUUUUUUAUAUUUAGUAACAGAAUUUUGAUUUCCUAAAUCCUAUGCACCCAUUUUUGCAAAAAAAGGAGAAAAAAAACAGUAUUUUUCAAAGGAACCCAGUCUGUUGACAAACUAUUCCAGCAUUUCUGUGAGUUUUGUAAAGAAUUACAUCAGAACACUUACUGUUGACUGUUUUCCAAAGCUUCAGAUGGUUCUCCUGUUUUGCAUUUCAAUCAGCCAUUGAGAAGUUUUUUUCAUUAGGACAAUAAAUAAGCUUGCAAAAUCUUAUUUUGAGAUAGAAGUUCAUAAUGGCAAACAUUACUUAGGUGAUCAAGUAUUAUCAUUGAACCUCAAUCCAGAUUUAGCCUGAAUUAAAGGGUGAAGCAGAAAAUGUUCAUGUGUUGGGUUUCAAGCAAGUUGAGGUUUUACUGUUUAAAAAAAAAAAAAAAAAAAGUUUAUGUCUGCCUUGGAAAAUAGUUUGCAGUGAGGUCAAGCACGUGUUUGGGCUGAACUGUGCAGAAAUGCUGCUAUGUUCCUUUAGUGUUAAAUUGUCCACUAGUGACUUAACCACAAACAGUUAAAAAUGUACAUGAAUUUGUUUUCGUUUUAGUGGUGUUUUCUGUAAUGUUAGGCCUUUUUAAAAGGUAUUCUGUUUUGAAGCAUUUCUCUGAAUAACCGUUCCGAGAGGAGGAACUAAAGUUUCUCAUUGGUGUUUACAUGACUGUUUUCAGAAUGAAUCUUGUCACUGCAUGUUUUAUCCUCCUAAUCUUCUAUAUUUAGUAGGAAAAAACUGUUAUUUUGAGUAAUAAAUUGAUCCAGUAUACAGAAGCAGUGAGUGGUAUCCAGUUUUACUUUUCUUAGUAUUAUGUCACAGACGGGUUCUCGGGCACCUGAUAAGUGUUAACAUGUUUGUGGAAUGCCAGAGUCAUUGCACUGAAAAAGGCCGUCCAGUCGAGUGUAUUGAUUUCCUGUUAAUGGAACAUGAAACUGGUGGGGAGAGAGAGUUCAAAUUAGAUUCACAGUGAGGAAGCAGUCAUGUAUGAAAUCGGACAUGUCCCAUUGAUCAGUGUAUUGAAAAAUAUGUUCAUUAAAGAGCAGAAAGGCAGCACGGAGCAUGGAUUUGAUUUGUGAAACAUGACUGAAAUAAAUCAGAAAUGAAAAGAUAAUCAACUGAAUAUUGUAAUCUGUUAGUUCUAGAUCACUGAAUAUGAAGUUGAUUCGAUUCCAAACAGUAAUAAGAAUGAGUGAGAGAUACUGUACUUAAAAUUCUCCUGAUUAAAAUAAACACACUUUAAAACCCAUGCAAUUUAGUGGAAAAUUCAUCACCAACAAGCUGAAAACAGGCCUGUUUUGUCUGAACUUGUGAGAAGUUGAAAUGCAUGGUUCUCAGAGGCAAAAGUAGAAACACUUUACUCAAAACAUUUAUUUAAAGAGGCCUUUCAAAACACUCCUGGACAUUGUACAGUGAGUCUGAACAGGUCAAUAAAAAUAUGUAAGAGAAUGGAAAAUAAAAAGUAGGAGUUAUGGUAAUGAGUGAAUUAUGUUGGGUAGAUUAGUUGAGUUUUUAGAUGAGAUUUGACAAUGGUAAGAGUCUCAAAUAGAAGUACAUGUAGUAAAGGAUUAAGUAAUUCAGUGCCUUUAAGUACAACAACAACAGUAACAUGUACUCAAACAGUCAAAGUAAAAAGGGUUUCUACAUAUUUACUGCUUGUCAUGCAUGAUAUACAUUGCUCUACUAAGGGGACAAUCUGUACUAUGUUAUCACAUCCAUGUAGGUUUGUGUACAUACGCAGUGAUAAAAUAAUGAAGAAAUAAAUGUAACAGGAUAGUUUUGUAAAUGUAGGAGGUAGAAAGUAUAGAUGUCUUAAAAUGUAUGAAGGUCAUAAAUACCAAAAAAAAAAAAAAAAAUUCUAACAAGGUAGAGUUUGAAGUAUUUUUACUUCAUUACUUCUCUGCCCACAGAACAGUGAUGCCUCAAACAUAUGAUCUUAUAGACCAUGAUGCAUUGCUGUAGGUUAAACUACCAACAGUUUAUUAUUAACCUUUAUCUAACCAGGAAAAAAAUUUGAUUAAGAGUUCUGGCCAAAAUAGGCAGCAGCAAAUGCAAAACACAAGUUUACACCAUUAAAACACAAAUAACUGACACAUUUGACAAAUAGUAAAAAUAACAUUUACGAGUUGGCCUCAAGAACUCUUGGUUUGGACUUGAAAGUGCCCAGAGAAAUUUGAGCUACUAUUUACCACAGUUCAUAGGGUAGUAAAAUAAUUUGCCCAAAUUCAAACAAUGCAGCAUUAACUUACAUAUUAAUGCAGCAGUAAUAUUGAUCAGAAACUCCAUCCAUCCAUUUUCUACUGUUUAUCUGGGGCCGGGUCACAGAGGCAACAGGCUAAGCAGGGAUGCCCAGACUUCCCUCUCCCCAGACAGCUCUUCCGGGGGGACCCCGAGGUGUUCCCAGGCCAGCUGAGAGACAUAGUCUCUCCAGUGUGUCCUAGGUCUUCCCCGAGCUCUCCUCCUGGUGGGGCAUGCCCGGAACACCUCCUCAGCUCCGAAACAGAUGCCUGAGCCACCUCAGCUGGCCCCUCUCGAUGUGGAGGAGCAGUGGCUCUACUCUGAGUUCCUCCCCCAUGACUGAUCUCCUCACCCUAUCCCUAAGGGUGCACCAGCCACCCUACAGAGGAAACGCAUUUCGACUGCUUGUGUCCGUGAUUUUGUCGUUUUGGUCAUGACCCAAAGCUCAUGACCAAAGGUGAGAGUAGGAACGCAGAUUGACCGGUAAAUCAAGAGCUUCGCCUUUUGGCUCAGCUCCUUCUUUACCACAACCAACCAAUACAGCGAGUGCAUCACUGCAGCCACUGCACCGAUCCACCUGUCAGUCUUGCGCUCCAUCCUUCCCUCACUCGUGAACAAGACCCAGAGAUACUUGAACUCCUCCACUUGUGGCAGGGACUCCCCACCAACCCGGAGAGGGCAGACCACCUUUUUCCGGUCGCGAACCAUGGCCUUGGAUUUGGAGGUGCUGAUCCUCAUCCCACUCACUUUACACUCGGCUCCAAACCGCCCCAGGGCACACUGAAGGUCCAGGUUUGAUGAGGCCAACAUGACAACAUCAUCUGCAAAAAGCAGAGAUGAAAUCCUGUGGUCCCCAAAUCGGACGCCCUCCGGCCCCUGGCUGCGCUUUGAAAUUCUGUCUAUAAAAAUUAUGAACAGAUCCAGUGACAAAGGGCAGCCCUGCUGGAGUCCAAUAUGCACCCCUGGAACAGGUCUGAGUUACUGCCGGCAAUGUGAACCAGGCUCCUGCUUCGGUCAUCGGGGACCAGACUGCCCUUAAGCAGAGGGUCCUGGACCCCAUACUCCAGAAUCACCUCCUACAGGAUACCAUGAGGGACACAGUCAAACACCUUCUCCAAAUCCACAAAACACAUGGGGGCCGGUUGGGCGAACACGCAUGAACCCCCAAGCACCCAAUGGAGAGUGUAGAGCUGGUCCAGUGUUCCACAACCGGAAUGAAAACCACCAGUGAUCAGAAACUAAAUGUAUAAAAGUAAAACACUAACAGGGAUCAUUUUACUACACAAAUACUUGUACUUUGCUUGUAAUACUUGCAUAUUUUUAAUAUAACUUUCUGGAUGCAGAUACUUGUGGAGUAUUUUCACAGGUGGAUCUGAAUUCUAGUCUGAUUGAUCUUUUCUUUAUGUGACAUGUUAUUUCCCUGUUCUAAAAUGAAAAAAAAAAAACCUCCAGU
ensembl:lncRNA